AUGCUAGUUUAUAUUUUUUUGUAGAAUUGAUAAUAAAACUGUUUUUCAUUAAUAUCAUUUUAAUAUGUAUAGGAAAAUGAUAAUAAAAUAAGUACCGAGACGAUAAAACAGUGUGACGUUCAUGUUUGUAUAUGGCUUGCAUGUGAUUUUUGAAAUUCAAUGCUUGUUCUGCUAAACUAAACUCAGAUAAGUGUUGAUGGGUCACUAGUACUGACCCAUAUCUCCACGGAAAAAAUCUCCACGGUUUCAAUUAAUUUAUAAUCAAUGUUUAUCACAAAAUAUUAGUUUGUAUAUUUGUUUUACUUUGUCGUUUAUAAAGUUCAUGAUGGAUGUUUAUAGUGUUUUUAACUGUCCGCGUCUCUAACUAAUACAUUCAGCAAAUCAAGAGAAGUUUUUGUUUUAGAAAAUAAUGCUUGGACACGUUGGUCCGGUUUACAAUAAAAUUAUAUGUGGUUAUACGCCAAAUUAAAGUUUUUUCUGUAUAAUUAAGUACUCUGUGAAAAAUCAGGAUCAUGUCACCGAAAUGCUUAAACUGUGCCUUCAGAAAAUAUGCCAAAUGCAAGCGGAAAUGAAGCAGGAAGAAGAGAAUCCGCACGAUCCUGAGAUGGAAGGAUAUGCAGCAUGUGCUAUGGAAACCUUGAGGUUUCUGUCUGCUCAAGGCCUUCCGAACGACCAUCCCACUGUUAAAGCUCUUUACGAAAAGCUUUUUACGAAUAGCUUUUCCUGAGAAAGAGAGAGUUUUAGAGUUUAUUUUUAGGUACUUAGAAGGCGAAAAUCCCACAAUACUUGUUACUGAUUCAAAUUAGUCUAUACUAUAUUUCAAACAGCGUGUUCUUUCUAGUCAAUAGAUUUAGGAUUUUUUAUAAUCAUUUUUUAAUAAGUUGAUUUCAAUCAAAGGUAUUUUACGUAUUAGUUUGAUUGUUUUACUAACUAGGCAAAUAUGAGAGUGUGAAUUCACAUUGACGUAACUAAUAAGUUACUUGAUAAUAAAAAUUCACAUAACCCCUUAUGUGAAUAAUGAAUAAAUAAAAAUUGAUUUUAUAUAGCAUAUAAGGGCAAGUCUAGUCAUUAUACUUAAGUAUUUCAGCUUGUAUCUAGUCAUUUUUAGAUAGAUAAUAAUUAUAAUUUAUGUACCUAACUUAGUAAAUAAAAAAACCAUAAAUGAAA